AAAAUGGCAGAGAUUUCCUCCAGGAGGCUGGUGCCCAGGUGCUGGGGCACUCUGGGAGGAGCUCUCCUGCGGCAGUGGGUUGUGACCCGCAGCAAAGAAGCUGCUGCAGCAGGCACUGAUCCUCUGUCAGCAUUUCAUUGUCAUAUCAUUGACCAUUUCUAUCAACUACCUUUUGGUCUGAAAGUAAGCCGAACUAAUGUCAAUUGCUUUAAUUGCAUCAUUAAUUGAAACAUGCUGGGAGAAGGACAUUAUUGUUCCAGCUGAAAUGCAAUAACUGAAAACUUUAGCUGCUUUUGCCACUACAGUACAUUUAUGAUGCUUCUAUCCAGAGGGGGAAAAAAAAAAAACCCACGUUUUGGAAGUACAAAGAGUGUACAACCUGUGCGCACAGAAAUCUAUGAAUUCUACCCCUGGGUGCCAAGGUCUUUAAAACAUCAGCUGAAUUCUGAAGCUAAAGCUGACACAAACAGAAGGAGAAGCAGUGCAAAGUUGCUUUGCUAUUUUCAGACAGAACUUUUCUUCUCAUUGCUGCAGCCUGGAGGGGGAGAGGACUUUCGUGUUUGCUCUGCAUCCCUACACUGACACACAGUUUUACUGCAGUCUGAGUCAUCUCCAGAAUAUCAGCUAAAUCCUGGCUGAAGACAAGAUCUCCAUAAAGCAGGGCUUGCUUUUCUUUUUAUGUGAAAAAGAGAGAAGUAGCUCAAGAAAGGAAUCAGUGAAUCAUCAACAGCAAGAGUGCUGGAAGGCCAACCUUCAACAUCUUCAAAAGACUCUGAGCACUGGGAUGCAUGUAUACAUAUCUAUAAAGAGUUCUGAAAAGAAUAAACAAUCACCCUCAGGGUUGGUCUGGUAGGAGAGCAGAGAGCUGCUCUUGCACCUGAAGGAGCUGUGACUGAAUAUAGUUCAUCAAGGACACCUGGUCCUGACACCAGUUUCUGCACUUAAUUGAAAUAAAGCAUUCUUCCAUUAGUCACUCAUGCCAAAAGGAUAAUAAUGCUUAAAAAAAUCCCUUAUUUUUCAGAGAUCUCACUAUUACUUAGUUCCUAACUUCCUAGUAUGACAUUGCUGUUGGAUAUUUUUUGCAACAUAGGAUGCAGUGACUUCGAGCAAUGAUUUUCUCUUAUCGUAAAAUAUUUAAUAUAUGUAUGUUAGCAAAAUUGUUUCCUGGUGUAAAUUAAUAGCAGUGGCAUGUACAAAAUACAAAUGCAUGUACUUUAUUAUGAAACGUGCUACCAAAACAUUUAUUAUUGUUAAGCUAAAAAGACCCUGCCAGAUGCGUUCAACAACUAACAGAACACAGUAAGGCUGAAAACCACCAAGAACUGCCCCCAAAACUGCAACAGAACUUGUCUCCUAAUUAACUCAGGAAGUGUGACAGUACUGACAUUUUGUCCUAGGUAGUAAGAAAUACGUACUCCUGGAAUGUAAAAUUUCACAUAGGUCUGCUGUGGAGGAAGCAAAUAUGUGUGAGGCAUACAAGACUUGUGUUGUAACUUGUAACGAACAGCAUGUGUCUUAGUUUCAGCUAAGGACAUACACUUAUUCGUGUUUUAGUAGAAAUCUAAACCUCUAGAAGCUUGAAACAAAGCCCUCUUGGUAGCUUCAGCAGCUAGAGAUAAAGUUACUGUUCUUCAGAAGCAGGCUAUGAAAUUUCUGACCGAGAGGAAUUGGCACUGUCAGACCUGCUUGAGCCAUCAAGGAACACUGAAGGCUGUACUUCUCCCACUUCAGGCACUUAUCAGCUCAACAGCGUUACAGGAUCUGAGGUGCACUUCUUUUCCCUGAAUUUGUUUUUCCUUUUUCCUUGGGAUAAGCCCCCCCUUGAACACUGUUUGCUCCAAAAAU
ensembl:lncRNA